rnacentral:rRNA from 1 species
AUUGAACGCUGGCGGCAGGCCUAACACAUGCAAGUCGAGCGGAUGAAGGGAGCUUGCUCCUGGAUUCAGCGGCGGACGGGUGAGUAAUGCCUAGGAAUCUGCCUGGUAGUGGGGGAUAACGUCCGGAAACGGGCGCUAAUACCGCAUACGUCCUGAGGGAGAAAGUGGGGGAUCUUCGGACCUCACGCUAUCAGAUGAGCCUAGGUCGGAUUAGUUAGUUGGUGGGGUAAAGGCCUACCAAGGCGACGAUCCGUAACUGGUCUGAGAGGAUGAUCAGUCACACUGGAACUGAGACACGGUCCAGACUCCUACGGGAGGCAGCAGUGGGGAAUAUUGGACAAAGGGCGAAAGCCUGAUCCAGCCAUGCCGCGUGUGUGAAGAAGGUCUUCGGAUUGUAAAGCACUUUAAGUUGGGAGGAAGGGCAGUAAGUUAAUACCUUGCUGUUUUGACGUUACCAACAGAAUAAGCACCGGCUAACUUCGUG